rnacentral:lncRNA from 1 species
GUUGGGUGAUUCUUAUUUAUCAUUGAAGCUGAUGGAUGUGCUUUUAGUAGUAGUCCAGGACUACUUCCAGCUACAUGCCUACUCCAGCUUAACAUUUUUAUAAGAGUUGAAACAGAUGUGUAACGGCAUUCACACCCUUGUCCCCUACCAUUACUUUUUUCUCCAUAAAAAUAUAGACCACAAAACACUAACAUCAUGGGAAGGGAGAGUCUGGAUUGUGUGAAAAUUCUUUUUCCCACUUCUAUGAUUCCCCCUGCUUAGCACACGUUAUCACAUUCAAUUGAGGUGUUACAGAAAUAGUAUAUACUGUAUUUGUGUGUUGGGAAGAGUUCCUUCUUAUUAAGUUGACUCAAAAGUCCAAGGGCAACAUCCUUAGGCUUUAAGCAGUGGUAGGGUUUUCCUGGCUUUUGAGACUAAAUAAAUACAUAACAAAAAGUGUCCUUUAAUUCAAGGAGAAAUGAUCCCAUAGGGCAUCACUACAGCACUUAGCAUGGCUGCCACACUCUGCCUCCCUCGAUUUUUCUCAGGAGAAAAUUGUGCUGAUGGAAUAAGACUAUUGAUGGCUGUGCUCUUAGUUGGGGGGAAAAAAAGAAGAAGAAAAAGAAAAGAAACAUUGUAAUGGGAAGCUUUAUUUUUUAUUGAACAGAUACAAAAUGUCUGCUAUUGAAGGAGAUAGAAUGUCAGGAAGUAGCUAUAGGAUCAUGAAGGAAGCAUACUACCAAGUAACACUAUAUCCUUUUUAUAGCCAUUUUCUCGUCUGUUUACUGCUCUUUUGCCAUUGUACAUGAUUGUUCAUGUUGGCUUUUCCAAUCAAAGAAAUAAAUAAUCUGGGCAGGGAAGGAGAGGAUUGUGGGAAAGUGGGGAGUGACCUGUGUACUGCAUUCAUUCACUUCCCUGCCUAGAUCCCAAAACAUAAUGUUUUUAUUGUUAUUGAUUGUGAGUAGCUAGUAGUGAUUUGCUAUUCUGUGGUACCCUAAUGAUGACUCCGCCUUAUUGCAUCCCAUUUCCCUGU